rnacentral:rRNA from 1 species
GAUGAACGCUGGCGGCGUGCCUAAUACAUGCAAGUCGAGCGAACAGACGAGGAGCUUGCUCCUCUGACGUUAGCGGCGGACGGGUGAGUAAAACGUGGAUAACCUACCUAUAAGACUGGGAUAACUUCGGGAAACCGGAGCUAAUACCGGAUAAUAUAUUGAACCGCAUGGUUCAAUAGUGAAAGAAUGUUUUGCUUUCACUUAUAGAUGGAUCCGCGCCGCAUUAGCUAGUUGGUAAGGUAACGGCUUACCAAGGCGACGAUGCGUAGCCGACCUGAGAGGGUGAUCGGCCACACUGGAACUGAGACACGGUCCAGACUCCUACGGGAGGCAGCAGUAGGGAAUCUUCCGCAAUGGGCGAAAGCCUGACGGAGCAACGCCGCGUGAGUGAUGAAGGUCUUCGGAUCGUAAAACUCUGUUAUUAGGGAAGAACAAAUGUGUAAGUAACUAUGCACGUCUUGACGGUACCUAAUCAGAAAGCCACGGCUAACUACGUG